rnacentral:rRNA from 1 species
UACGUAGGGUGCGAGCGUUGUCCGGAAUUAUUGGGCGUAAAGGGCUCGUAGGCGGUUUGUCGCGCCGGGAGUGAAAACUCAGGGCUUAACCCUGAGCCUGCUUCCGAUACGGGCAGACUGGAGUACUGCAGGGGAGACUGGAAUUCCUGGUGUAGCGGUGGAAUGCGCAGAUAUCAGGAGGAACACCGGUGGCGAAGGCGGGUCUCUGGGCAGUAACUGACGCUGAGGAGCGAAAGCGUGGGGAGCGAACAGG